rnacentral:rRNA from 1 species
UUAGAUACCCUGGUAGUCCACGCCGUAAACGAUGUCGACUUGGAGGUUGUGCCCUUGAGGUGUGGCUUCCGGAGCUAACGCGUUAAGUCGACCGCCUGGGGAGUACGGCCGCAAGGUUAAAACUCAAAUGAAUUGACGGGGGCCCGCACAAGCGGUGGAGCAUGUGGUUUAAUUCGAUGCAACGCGAAGAACCUUACCUGGUCUUGACAUCCACGGAAGUUUUCAGAGAUGAGAAUGUGCCUUCGGGAACCGUGAGACAGGUGCUGCAUGGCUGUCGUCAGCUCGUGUUGUGAAAUGUUGGGUUAAGUCCCGCAACGAGCGCAACCCUUAUCCUUUGUUGCCAGCGGUCCGGCCGGGAACUCAAAGGAGACUGCCAGUGAUAAACUGGAGGAAGGUGGGGAUGACGUCAAGUCAUCAUGGCCCUUACGACCAGGGCUACACACGUGCUACAAUGGCGCAUACAAAGAGAAGCGACCUCGCGAGAGCAAGCGGACCUCAUAAAGUGCGUCGUAGUCCGGAUUGGAGUCUGCAACUCGACUCCAUGAAGUCGGAAUCGCUAGUAAUCGUGGAUCAGAAUGCCACGGUGAAUACGUUCCCGGGCCUUGUACACACCGCCCGUCACACCAUGGGAGUGGGUUGCAAAAGAAGUAGGUAGCUUAACCUUCGGGAGGGCGCUUACCACUUUGUGAUUCAUGACUGGGGUGAAGUCGUAACAAGGUAACCGUAGGGGAACCUGCGGUUGGAUCACCUCCUUACCUUAAAGAAGC